UACGGGGGGGGUAAGCGUUGUUCGGAAUUACUGGGCGUAAAGGGCUCGUAGGCGGCCAACUAAGUCAUACGUGAAAUCCCUCAGCUUAACUGGGGAACUGCGUGUGAUACUGGAUGGCUUGGAUUUGGGAGAGGGAUGCGGAAUUCCUGGUGUAGCGGUGAAAUGCGUAGAUAUCGGGAGGAACACCAGUGGCGAAGGCGACUUCCUGGCCUGUUCUUGACGCUGAGGCGCGAAAGCUAGGGUAGCAAACGGG
rnacentral:rRNA from 1 species